rnacentral:rRNA from 1 species
CAAUAGCGUAUAUUAAAGUUGUUGCAGUUAAAAAGCUCGUAGUUGGACCUUGGACCUGGACAGGCGGUCCGCCUCACGGCGUGUACUGUCUUGCUGGGUCUUUCCUCUUGGUGAUCUGUUGUUUCGACAGCAGGGAACCAGGACUUUUACUUUGAAAAAAUUAGAGUGUUCAAAGCAGGCUCGACGCCGGAAUAUAUUAGCAUGGAAUAAUAAAAUAGGACGUGCGGUUCUAUUUUGUUGGUUUUUGGAAUCGCCGUAAUGAUUAAUAGGGACAGUCGGGGGCAUUAGUACUCACAUGCUAGAGGUGAAAUUCUUGGAUUUUGUGAAGACUAACUUCUGCGAAAGCAUUUGCCAAGGAUGUUUUCAUUAA